AACCAAGGGUCCACAUUCAAAAGCAGAGAACAAAAGCGAAACUCCAUUUGAAAUGAAGACAGCUUAGGCCUGCAAACUCCCCCUACACUCCUACCUAGUGUGCAGAGAUGGCAGGCCUACCUGCCCAGCCCUUCUCAUACUCCAUCUCUCUCUCUACUGAUGCAUUCACUCCCUCUCUCUCUCUAAACCACAUGAAAUAAAAAACCAUUCCCUUUCUCUCUCUAAAACCAGAGGAACCCUAUCUCUCCCUUGCACCUAGUUUCCUCGCUAUCUUUUACAAACUACUGGAUCCCCAAUACACCCUCGUGCCCUCUCUCUCUCUAAACCAGAGAUACAGGCGAAGCCCUACCAAACUGACGUCACCCUCUCUCUGCGCCUCUCGUACGAGAACAAAAGUGAAAGCCCUAUCUUAAUCUUAGUCACAGUGGGUAAGCAACAUUAUGGUAAGCAGCGUUAUGUAUUAUGCUUGUGACCAGAUAUGGAUUGCUCUUUCAAGAUGUCAUCGGUUGGAAAAUCAGCUUAUAUACAAUAUUAGAAUUGGCUGUUACGCAGGGCUCACAAUGGAUCUUCAUAACUCCGCAUGACAUCAGGUAUAAACUAAAAUUUGUAUCUAUCAUUCUUAUGAAUUGUAAUCUCUGUUUGACCUCUCUCUCUUUCUUAAGAAUUUAAUGAUUGUAACCUCUAAUUCAGAUUGUUAAUUCAAAUGGACUUUGAAUUGACAAACCAUCUGAGUUAUAAUUCCUCUCUUUUAGCUUACCUAAUCUUGUUUGUGGAGUAUCAUUGUGACUAUUCUCUAAGUCAUUUGGUGACUGUUAUUGUGGUCAUUCAUCUUCUAGCUUGGAUUAGUUAAUUCAAUUCUUUUGGUCCUUGUGCUUUCCAACUCAA